UACGUAGGGGUGCGAGCGUUGUCCGGAAUUACUGGGCGUAAAGAGCUCGUAGGUGGUUUGUCGCGUUGUCCGUGAAAACUCACAACUCAAUUGUGGGCGUGCGGGCGAUACGGGCAGACUGGAGUACUGCAGGGGAGACUGGAAUUCCUGGUGUAGCGGUGGAAUGCGCAGAUAUCAGGAGGAACACCGGUGGCGAAGGCGGGUCUCUGGGCAGUAACUGACGCUGAGGAGCGAAAGCGUGGGGGAGCGAACAGG
rnacentral:rRNA from 1 species